rnacentral:rRNA from 1 species
AUUGAACGCUGGCGGCAUGCCUUACACAUGCAAGUCGAACGGCAGCACGGGUGCUUGCACCUGGUGGCGAGUGGCGAACGGGUGAGUAAUACAUCGGAACAUGUCCUGUAGUGGGGGAUAGCCCGGCGAAAGCCGGAUUAAUACCGCAUACGAUACACGGAUGAAAGCGGGGGACCUUCGGGCCUCGCGCUAUAGGGUUGGCCGAUGGCUGAUUAGCUAGUUGGUGGGGUAAAGGCCUACCAAGGCGACGAUCAGUAGCUGGUCUGAGAGGACGACCAGCCACACUGGGACUGAGACACGGCCCAGACUCCUACGGGAGGCAGCAGUGGGGAAUUUUGGACAAUGGGCGAAAGCCUGAUCCAGCAAUGCCGCGUGUGUGAAGAAGGCCUUCGGGUUGUAAAGCACUUUUGUCCGGAAAGAAAUCCUUGACUCUAAUACAGUCGGGGGAUGACGGUACCGGAAGAAUAAGCACCGGCUAACUACGUG